GACGAACGCUGGCGGCGUGCUUAACACAUGCAAGUCGAACGGAAAGGCCCUGCUUUUGUGGGGUGCUCGAGUGGCGAACGGGUGAGUAACACGUGAGUAACCUGCCCUUGACUUUGGGAUAACUUCAGGAAACUGCGGCUAAUACCGGAUAGGAGCUCCUGCUGCAUGGUGGGGGCUGGGACGUUUCGGCGGUUGGGGAUGGACUCGCGGGUUAUCAGCUUGUUGGUGGGAUAGUGGCCUACCAAGGCUUCGACGGAUAGCCGGCCUGAGAGGGGGACCGGCCACAUUGGGACUGAGAUACGGCCCAGACGCGUACGGGAGGCAGCAGGGGGGAGUAUUACACAGUGGGCGGAAGCCUGAUGCGGCGGCGCCGCGUGCGGGAUGACGGCCUUCGGGUUGUAAACCGCUUUCGCCUGUGACGAAGCGUGAGUGACGGUAAUGGGUAAAGAAGCACCGGCUAACUACGUG
rnacentral:rRNA from 1 species